rnacentral:rRNA from 1 species
GGAGGUGCGGCAUCCUAUACAUGCAGUCGAGCGGACAGAUGGGAGCUUGCUCCCUGAUGUUAGCGGCGGACGGGUGAGUAACACGUGGGUAACCUGCCUGUAAGACUGGGAUAACUCCGGGAAACCGGGGCUAAUACCGGAUGGUUGUUUGAACCGCAUGGUUCAGACAUAAAAGGUGGCUUCGGCUACCACUUACAGAUGGACCCGCGGCGCAUUAGCUAGUUGGUGAGGUAACGGCUCACCAAGGCGACGAUGCGUAGCCGACCUGAGAGGGUGAUCGGCCACACUGGGACUGAGACACGGCCCAGACUCCUACGGGAGGCAGCAGUAGGGAAUCUUCCGCAAUGGACGAAAGUCUGACGGAGCAACGCCGCGUGAGUGAUGAAGGUUUUCGGAUCGUAAAGCUCUGUUGUUAGGGAAGAACAAGUGCCGUUCAAAUAGGGCGGCACCUUGACGGUACCUAACCAGAAAGCCACGGCUAACUACGUGCCAGCAGCCGCGGUAAUACGUAGGUGGCAAGCGUUGUCCGGAAUUAUUGGGCGUAAAGGGCUCGCAGGCGGUUUCUUAAGUCUGAUGUGAAAGCCCCCGGCUCAACCGGGGAGGGUCAUUGGAAACUGGGGAACUUGAGUGCAGAAGAGGAGAGUGGAAUUCCACGUGUAGCGGUGAAAUGCGUAGAGAUGUGGAGGAACACCAGUGGCGAAGGCGACUCUCUGGUCUGUAACUGACGCUGAGGAGCGAAAGCGUGGGGAGCGAACAGGAUUAGAUACCCUGGUAGUCCACGCCGUAAACGAUGAGUGCUAAGUGUUAGGGGGUUUCCGCCCCUUAGUGCUGCAGCUAACGCAUUAAGCACUCCGCCUGGGGAGUACGGUCGCAAGACUGAAACUC